rnacentral:rRNA from 1 species
GGGGGGGGGGGGGGGGGGGCGGGGGGCGGGCGGGGCGGGCGAGGGGGUCGGGUCUAGCGGCGGGGGGGUGAGUCACGCGUGGGAAUAUGCGCUUCUCUGCGGAAUAGCCGCGGGGAACUGAGCGUAAUACCGCAUACGCCCUUGGGGGGAAAGAUUUAGCGGAGAAGGAUUAGCCCGCGUUGGAUUAGGUAGUUGGUGGGGUAACGGCCUACCAAGCCGACGAUCCAUAGCUGGUUUGAGAGGAUGAUCAGCCACACUGGGACUGAGACACGGCCCAGACUCCUACGGGAGGCAGCAGUGGGGAAUCUUAGACAAUGGGGGCAACCCUGAUCGAGCCAUGCCGCGUGAGUGAUGAAGGCCUUAGGGUUGUAAAGCUCUUUCAGCUGGGAAGAUAAUGACGGUACCAGCAGAAGAAGCCCCGGCUAACUCCGUG